AUUGAACGCUGGCGGCAGGCCUAGCACAUGCAAGUCGGACGGUAGCACAGAGAGCUUGCUCUCGGGUGACGAGUGGCGGACGGGUGAGUAAUGUCUGGGGAUCUGCCCGAUAGAGGGGGAUAACCACUGGAAACGGUGGCUAAUACCGCAUCACGUCGCAAGACCAAAGAGGGGGACGUUCGGGCCUCUCACUAUCGGAUGAACCCAGAUGGGAUUAGCUAGUAGGCGGGGUAAUGGCCCACCUAGGCGACGAUCCCUAGCUGGUCUGAGAGGAUGACCAGCCACACUGGAACUGAGACACGGUCCAGACUCCUACGGGAGGCAGCAGUGGGGAAUAUUGCACAAUGGGCGCAAGCCUGAUGCAGCCAUGCCGCGUGUAUGAAGAAGGCCUUCGGGUUGUAAAGUACUUUCAGCGGGGAGGAAGGCGAUGCGGUUAAUAACCGUGUCGAUUGACGUUACCCGCAGAAGAAGCACCGGCUAACUCCGUGCCAGCCGCCGCCGUAA
rnacentral:rRNA from 1 species